GAUGAACGCUGGCGGCGUGCCUAAUACAUGCAAGUCGAGCGAAUGGAUUAAGAGCUUGCUCUUAUGAAGUUAGCGGCGGACGGGUGAGUAACACGUGGGUAACCUGCCCAUAAGACUGGGAUAACUCCGGGAAACCGGGGCUAACACCGGAUAACAUUUUGAACCGCAUGGUUCGAAAUUGAAAGGCGGCUUCGGCUGUCACUUAUGGAUGGACCCGCGUCGCAUUAGCUAGUUGGUGAGGUAACGGCUCACCAAGGCAACGAUGCGUAGCCGACCUGAGAGGGUGAUCGGCCACACUGGGACUGAGACACGGCCCAGACUCCUACGGGAGGCAGCAGUAGGGAAUCUUCCGCAAUGGACGAAAGUCUGACGGAGCAACGCCGCGUGAGUAAGGAAGGCUUUCGGGUCGUAAAACUCUGUUGUUAGGGAAGAACAAGUGCUAGUUGAAUAAGCUGGCACCUUGACGGUACCUAACCAGAAAGCCACGGCUAACUACGUGCCAGCCGCCGCGGUAA
rnacentral:rRNA from 1 species